rnacentral:rRNA from 1 species
CACGUAGGGGACGAGCGUUGUCCGGAUUCAUUGGGCGUAAAGCGCGCGUAGGCGGCCCGAUAAGUCCGCUGUAAAAGUCAACGGCUCAACUGCUGAAAGCCGGUGGAUACUGUCGUGCUAGAGUGCGGAAGGGGCUACUGGAAUUCUCGGUGUAGCGGUGAAAUGCGUAGAUAUCGAGAGGAACACCUGCGGCGAAGGCGGGUAGCUGGGCCGACACUGACGCUGAUGCGCGAAAGCCAGGGGAGCGAACGGG